AUUGAACGCUGGCGGCAUGCUUUACACAUGCAAGUCGAACGGCAGCGCGGGCUUCGGCCUGGCGGCGAGUGGCGAACGGGUGAGUAAUACAUCGGAACGUGCCCAGUAGUGGGGGAUAGCUCGGCGAAAGCCGGAUUAAUACCGCAUACGACCUGAGGGUGAAAGCGGGGGAUCUUCGGACCUCGCGCUAUUGGAGCGGCCGAUGGCAGAUUAGCUAGUUGGUGGGGUAAAGGCCUACCAAGGCGACGAUCUGUAGCUGGUCUGAGAGGACGACCAGCCACACUGGGACUGAGACACGGCCCAGACUCCUACGGGAGGCAGCAGUGGGGAAUUUUGGACAAUGGGCGAAAGCCUGUUCCAGCAAUGCCGCGUGUGUGAUGAAGGCCUUCGGGUUGUAAAGCACUUUUGGCGGGAACGAAAAGGACUGUGCCAAUACCACGGUUCGAUGACGGUACCCGCAGAAUAAGCACCGGCUAACUACGUG
rnacentral:rRNA from 1 species